rnacentral:rRNA from 1 species
AAAUUGAAGAGUUUGAUCAUGGCUCAGAUUGAACGCUGGCGGCAGGCCUAACACAUGCAAGUCGAACGGUAACAGGAAGCAGCUUGCUGCUUUGCUGACGAGUGGCGGACGGGUGAGUAAUGUCUGGGAAACUGCCCGAUGGAGGGGGAUAACUACUGGAAACGGUGGCUAAUACCGCAUAACGUCGCAAGACCAAAGAGGGGGACCUUCGGGCCUCUUGCCAUCAGAUGUGCCCAGAUGGGAUUAGCUUGUUGGUGA